AAACUACUCCUUCCGUUCCGAAUUAUUUGUCACAUGUAUAUGGAUGUAUCUAGAUGUAUUUUAGUUUUAGAUACAUCCAUUUCAGCGACGAGUAAUUUAGAACGAAGGGAGUAUGAA
rfam:Triticum urartu cultivar G1812 contig904662, whole genome shotgun sequence.